rnacentral:rRNA from 1 species
UACGAAGGGGGCUAGCGUUGUUCGGAAUUACUGGGCGUAAAGCGCACGUAGGCGGACAUUUAAGUCAGGGGUGAAAUCCCAGAGCUCAACUCUGGAACUGCCUUUGAUACUGGGAGUCUUGAGUAUGGAAGAGGUGAGUGGAAUUCCGAGUGUAGAGGUGAAAUUCGUAGAUAUUGGGAGGAACACCAGUGGCGAAGGCGGCUCACUGGACCGGUUCUGACGCUGAUGCGCGAAAGCGUGGGGAGCAAACGGG